AAGUCGUAACAAGGUUUCCGUAGGUGAACCUGCGGAAGGAUCAUUAUCCUUUUCGUAGUAUUUUUAAUACUACAAGCGCAUUUAUUUGCGUCAAUACACAUGCUGACUGUAGAUGCUUUUCUACGGUCUUUAAAAUCCAUACUUGCUCGAGUAUGGUCGGGUACCUAUGCAUGUGAUUGCUUGCUCAAUCACAUCAUAAGCGGUAUAGCUCUUACCGUAUGGUUUGAAGAUAGUUCAACAAUUUGAACUACGCCCGCAUUGCUAUUAAAUUACUACAUUACAUUUAAAAAUUUCAUAGAAGUUGUUUGCUGUGAUGAAAAGUUCAAGCGCUCUAUAGUGUUUGAAUUGUUUUAACACUUAAACAACCCUAUGCGGUGGAUCACUUGGCUC
rnacentral:misc_RNA from 1 species